rnacentral:lncRNA from 1 species
GAGCCCAGGAAGGGACCAUAACUUCUUUGAUGUCACACGGCAGAGAGGGGCAGCAUUGCAGUGUGAUGUCACAGCAAAGAGGGGUAGCUACUCAUGGAGAAUGACUCAAGAAGCCUGGGGGAAAGCCUUCCCCACCAGUUGCUCAGUAACACCUAAACUGCCUUGCCUGUGGGACCCAGCCUUGUACUGCAUCAUCAGAGAUUAGCCUGACAAGCAAAUGCACCAGGGAGGAAGCCUGGUAAUGGGGGCUCAUUUAUGCUAGGGCGUGGAUGACUGAUAUCAGGGUCUUUCACACCAAGAGGCUUAGCCGGAGGCAGAGGAGAGGAGAUCAGAAGGGCACUGGAGACUGCAAGGGCAAGAGGUGACUGGGGCUAAGCCUAGAGGGAAGAGGGCAUGGAGCUGAGAGCUUCAGGCACAAAAGAGAAACUUAAUACCUGCUUUGUAGGCCCCAGGUCCUGUGCCUGAUUUUCUCUUUCCUCUGAGAAAGAAGCUGUGAGGUUUCUGAAGUGUCAAGUCACUCUUCAUGUCUAAUCCUGUUGCUGUUUAGAGAGAGUGUGUUUCAGAUUUAUGUCUGAACUGCAUCUAAAGGUAUCAGCAAAGUCGUUAAUUUCAGCCACCUGAAUCUGGUGGCUGCCUCUGCUUACGCACAGCAACACUUCCUUCCUCCAGUCCUGUGGGAAAUAAGGUAUUUCUUCGGAUUCUGCAUGAAGAGAUGAGAAGUAUGCUUAAGCCCUGC